AUUUCCAUUUGACGUAGUAACUGUAGCCUCAAUUAUCACAUGAACGGUUCUCUAUAAUAUGUCUGCACGGAAUCCUAGUGAUUUUUUAAAGCAAGUUUUAGGACGAUCUGUCAUAGUUCGUCUUAACUCGGGAACUGAUUUUAAAGGUCUUCUUGCUUGUUUAGAUGACCGUAUGAAUGUGGCUAUGGAGCAGGUGGAAGAAAUUGAAAAAGGUAUCACUAUAAAUAAAUAUAGUGAUGCUUUCAUACGAGGAAAUAACGUUUUAUACAUCAGAGCAGCAACGUCUAAACCUAGUUCAAAUUAAUGGACUAUUCUUGAUUCGUUAAAUAUUUUUCUUUUUACUUUUUUUUACAGCAACUUUAUAUCUAAAAGCAUUUUCAAAACAAAAUAAAAUACCCUACCGGUGUGUUUUUAAAGAACAUUGCUUUAAUAAUCGAUUGAGAGUAAUAGUAUUUCAGUCUUUUCAUAAAUUGUCUGACACUAGUAGCAGAAAAAAUACAUGAUUUCCUCUUAUCUUAAACUACUCGUCUUAAAUUAGAGAUAAAUAUUUUUAAUCCGUAAUGCUCAUAAAUUCGCUAGUUUAAUGAUGUUUGGUUAAAACAUGAUGUUUGUUUCUAACUUAUUAAACACUAGGAUUUUUUUUUCACAAGCGCUAAUAGAUUUAAAUUACUGUAAAAUUUAAAAUGAGAGUAUUUUAGACAAGCAUCAAUUUUUCUUUUUAAUGUUUAUUCAUGAAUACUUUUUAUAGGAGAACCUCAAAAAAAAUUAUGUAAUGAUUUACUAAAACGAUCAAUUCAACCUUAUUGACCUUAAAAUUUAAUUUCAGCUUUACGUUUGAAUAAGUACGCAAUCUCUUUGAGAAAUGGGAUUUGCUUCAUAAGUUAACUUAUGAAAGAUGGGAACAUUGUUGAUUUAUCAUUAUUCGCUAAGAGGUGCAACUACUAAAAUUUAAGAAAUCAUGUUUGUUUUUUUUAAGGAUGGUUGCUACUACGGGUUUAUGAAAGGUUUUUAAAAAGCUAAUCUUGACACAUUUAUUACUGUUUUGUGUUUCUUUUGCCGGGAAAGAGUAGGAUUGAAUCAUACGUAUUUGCUAGAGUAGAAUUUUUUAGCUUUAGUUUAUGGUUCGCAUAUAUGGAAGUAUUACUGCUUGGACGAAUUCUGUUUAUUCGUUUUAACUUAUUAGAGGAUUAACUAUGACAGAAU